rnacentral:rRNA from 1 species
UACGAAGGGGGCUAGCGUUGUUCGGAAUCACUGGGCGUAAAGGGCGCGUAGGCGGCCGAUCAAGUCGGGGGUGAAAGCCUGUGGCUCAACCACAGAAUUGCCUUCGAUACUGUUUGGCUUGAGGCCGGAAGAGGUAAGUGGAACUGCGAGUGUAGAGGUGAAAUUCGUAGAUAUUCGCAAGAACACCAGUGGCGAAGGCGGCUUACUGGUCCGGUUCUGACGCUGAGGCGCGAAAGCGUGGGGAGCAAACAGG